GAUUAACGCUGGCGGCGUGCCUAACACAUGCAAGUCGAGCGGCAGCGAGUUUUACACUGAAUUCUGGAAGCUUCUAGUUGAAAGAGAAGAUUUAUUCAAGAAUUUUGUGUAAAAUGUCGGCGAGCGGCGGACGGCUGAGUAACGCGUGGGAACGUACCCCAAAGUGAGGGAUAACGCAUCGAAAGGUGUGCUAAUACCGCAUAUGGUCUUCGGAUUAAAGCCUUCGGGCGCUUUGGGAACGGCCUGCGUAAGAUUAGAUAGUUGGUGGGGUAAUGGCCUACCAAGUCGACGAUCUUUAACUGGUUUGAGAGGAUGAUCAGUCAGACUGGAACUGAGACACGGUCCAGACUCCUACGGGAGGCAGCAGUGAGGAAUCUUCCACAAUGGGCGAAAGCCUGAUGGAGCAACGCCGCGUGCAGGAUGAAGGCCUUCGGGUUGUAAACUGCUUUUAUAAGUGAGGAUUAUGACAGUAACUUAUGAAUAAGGAUCGGCUAACUACG
rnacentral:rRNA from 1 species